rnacentral:lncRNA from 1 species
ACAAACUUUCUUUCAAAUUCCAGAAACUAGAGUAGACAACUUCUCAAACAAGAACGGGCUAGGCUAAGGCAAUGUAUUUGACAGAACAAGACAACCACAAGCAAUGGAUUUAACAACACAGCAGAACAACUAUUCUACACAGACUCUAGAUCAGAUUGCAAAAGCAAAUAAAAGCUUCAAUUAAAGAAUGACAGAUUAGAUUUCUCAUGCAAUAGACAAAACUAGGAGAGCCAGUAAUGACUAACAAGAAACAAGCUACUUAGAACAGAAGGCACACAUACUGAACCUACCAAAGGA